UACGGAGGGUGCAAACGUUGCUCGGAAUCAUUGGGCGUAAAGCGCACGUAGGCGGCCUGAUAAGUCGGGUGUGAAAGCCCCGGGCUCAACCCAGGAAGUGCACUCGAAACUGUCAGGCUUGAAUAUGGAAGAGGGUCGCGGAAUUCCCGGUGUAGAGGUGAAAUUCGUAGAUAUCGGGAGGAACACCAGUGGCGAAGGCGGCGACCUGGGCCAAUAUUGACGCUGAGGUGCGAAAGCGUGGGGAGCAAACAGG
rnacentral:rRNA from 1 species